rnacentral:misc_RNA from 1 species
CUGACACGCCAGCUGCAGAAUUGGAAACUGGUACUUCAUAAGGGGCCAACGAAACAGGAUGGCUGACAUCAUGUGACCUUGACCUCAAGAUUGACCUUCAGAUUGAUGCCUCCAGAUAUUUGAGACUGAAUAUUUGUUUUUAUCUCAGUGACUCUCUAUGAAAUGUGUCAGUACUAUUUAAGUCUGAACUAAUUGUGUCAUUACAGAAUAAAUUGCUGUUCUUGUAGAAUGUAUAUAUUGAAGUAAAUUGUGUCUUAG